UACGAAGGGUGCAAACGUUGCUCGGAAUUAUUGGGCGUAAAGCGCACGUAGGCGGAUUGGUCAGUUAGGGGUGAAAUCCCAGAGCUCAACUCUGGAACUGCCCUUAAUACUGCCAGUCUAGAGUCCGGAAGAGGUAAGUGGAACUCCUAGUGUAGAGGUGGAAUUCGUAGAUAUUAGGAAGAACACCAGUGGCGAAGGCGGCUUACUGGUCCGGUACUGACGCUGAGGUGCGAGAGCGUGGGGAGCGAACCGG
rnacentral:rRNA from 1 species